rnacentral:rRNA from 1 species
CGUCUUUAGCCCUUCUAUUAAAGAUCCAUCCUGCCCAGUGACUUUAGUUCAACGGCCGCGGUAUCCUGACCGUGCAAAGGUAGCAUAAUCAUUUGCCUUUUAAUUGGAGGCUAGUAUGAAUGGAUAAACGAGGUUUCCCCUGUCUCUCUUAUAUAAAUAAAACCUAAACUUCAGGUGAAGAUGCCUGACUUUCACAGAAAGACAAGAAGACCCUAUAGAGUUUAAAUUUUAUAAAUCUUCAAUAUAUUUAUAAAUUUUGGUUGGGGCGACCGAGGACUAGACUAAACGUCCUUUAUUAAAAUGAAAAUAAUUCUUUUAGCUGACCCUCCUGGAUUAACAAAAACAACUACCUUAGGGAUAACAGGCUUAUCUUCCUAAAGAGCCCUAAUCGAUAGGAAGGUUUGGCACCUCGAUGUUGGCUUAGAGUAACUUAUUACCGCAGCAGGUAAUAUAAGUUAGUUUGUUCAACUAUUAAAUCUCU